rnacentral:rRNA from 1 species
CCUGCAGGGGGUACGGGCAGACUAGAGUGCGGUAGGGGAGAUUGGAAUUCCNNNGUGUAGCGGUGGAAUGCGCAGAUAUCAGGAGGAACACCGAUGGCGAAGGCAGAUCUCUGGNNNNNNNACUGACGCUGAGGAGCGAAAGGGUGGGGAGCAAACAGGCUUAGAUACCCUGGUAGUCCACCCCGUAAACGUUGGGAACUAGUUGUGGGGUCCAUUCCACGGAUUCCGUGACGCAGCUAACGCAUUAAGUUCCCCGCCUGGGGAGUACGGCCGCAAGGCUAAAACUCAAAGGAAUUGACGGGGACCCGCACAAGCGGCGGAGCAUGCGGAUUAAUUCGAUGCAACGCGAAGAACCUUACCAAGGCUUGACAUAUACGAGAACGGGCCAGAAAUGGUCAACUCUUUGGACACUCGUAAACAGGUGGUGCAUGGUUGUCGUCAGCUCGUGUCGUGAGAUGUUGGGUUAAGUCCCGCAACGAGCGCAACCCUCGUUCUAUGUUGCCAGCACGUAAUGGUGGGAACUCAUGGGAUACUGCCGGGGUCAACUCGGAGGAAG